AUACGUAGGGAGCGAGCGUUACCCGGAAUUACUGGGCGUAAAGUGCGCGUAGGCGGCUUGGUAAGUCCCUUUUGAAAGCUCCCGGCUUAGCUGGGAGAGGUGAGGGGAAACUACUUGGCUUGAGGACAGCAGAGGAAAGCGGAAUUCUCGGUGUAGCGGUGAAAUGCGUAGAUAUCGAGAGGAACACCAGUGGCGAAGGCGGCUUUCUGGGCUGCACCUGACGCUGAGGCGCGAGAGCGUGGGGAGCAAACAGGAUUAGAAACCCCAGUAGUCC
rnacentral:rRNA from 1 species